CCGAGGCUGUCGCAGUUCGGCUGUUUCUGCUGUGCUCCCUGCUUUGGUGUCUGAGCCUGAAUUGGAACAAAGGAAUCAAAUCGAUUAAGAAAAUAUUUCACGCCCACUGGAAAGGAGAACGGCUCUUUGAGAACUGGACAGCAUCUCCAGGGCCCAGAAUGGCGGCUAGCAGAUGCAUAAACAGUUGUUGAAUAAGAAUGCGUCCUUUUAAGUUAAAAGCCCAUUUCUCUCUGUGAUGGAUGCAGAAGGCCAGCGUUGUUGGAAGGACUGCCCUGCGGACUGGGAUUGUUACCGAAAGUGGAUCCGGGCGCUCACCGCUCAAAAGCCAAUAAAGAAGCAAGAUCACAUCCUGCUGGGACGAUGGAAACUCCCCCUUUCUUCUCCCUGAGGCUGUGGCUUGUAUCACCCAAGUCCCAGGGGGCUGACAUUCCACCAAGGAGCCAGGUGGCGGGUAGCAUCUGGCCAAACUGUCAUCUGCUCACGUCAGCACCCCCUAGGAUGUUCAGCAUCUCAUCUCGGCCUUUGCCCUUGGUCCACGCAGGUUUCUCUGGCUGCAGCUCUCUCUCCAUCAGAACGUAAGCUCCAUGGGAGGUUCAGAACGCUGACGGGUCUGAGGUUUUACCCUCCUCACUAGCUAACUGGCUAGCCUGCCCCAGCUGAGCGGAUCCUGGCAGAAGACACGAGACUCCUGGGUCAGAGACAGAGACGCAGCAGCUCAGGCGGCAACAUCAGGUUCAGGCUUGUCCCUCAGCUGCCCUCGCCCGUCAGGCUCAGGUGGACGCUGCACGGGCAAGGCUGGCGUCACAGCUCAGGAACCCUGUGCUUAAGGAACCCCAGUCAUUUAUCACGGGCUGCAAGCACACCUGACCUUGGCCUUGGAGAGAGUCAUCUUCAUUGUACGGGAUAGUACAAACCGCCCUUUUCUCUAAAGGGAGGUGCUAUCUCUCUUUUCCGAGCCGUCUGCAGCACAAACAUCCUUGAGAAGGUGUUGCCUCUGCUGGCAGGGGUACAGAGAUGUGAGAGACCACGGAGAGCCGUCCCCCUGCAGAGGGCAGAGCUCACGAGAACGCUGGGCGCUGCUCUGGCCCGUCAAACCAGGGGCCACUCUCAGCUGUCAGCCACAGAAAUGAAGCCGCUGGGGAGCAUCAGCCCAGCGGAACUGGUACCAUUUUCAGUAGCACUGAAGAGUCGUACAGGCUAGCGGCAGUCCUGUGAAAAAGCACCUUCUUUAUUGCUCUCCAGCAUCUUGGAAUUCCAUCCUGGAAUUUGUCUUGGCUUGCUCCUGCCUGGAGAAUGAGAUAAAGCACUGUUUAAAUCUGACAUACACAUGAUGGGACAGAGUUGUCUCCGGGAGAUGCUUGAGUAUUCUGGUAGAAAAUCAUCAUUUUAAAGAUGACUUUUGUUUAGGAAACUCCAAGAUUAAGACAAACACUGUAUAAGGAGGGAGGGUGAGUGUCCACAAAAGGAAAUAACUGGGGGAGUGUUUGCGGGGGGGGGGGCAGUGGCUACAAGUAGAAAUGGUGCUUAUCUCUGCUGUCUGUAAACAUUCAGAACCUGGGGUAUCUUCCUGGGGAGGUCAUCGGGCACGAGAGCAGAGGCUGACUGCAGAACUCUUCCGGACGCCACAAGUCCUACACCUCAUCAAUCACGAAGGCUGGUCUCAUGUUCUUUCCUUUCCCAUCCCCGUGGCCCCUACCCAAUUCAGACCAUCUCAGACCACCAUUGCAUCAUUUCUUCAGCCUUCUGGUAGGUUUCCCUGCAUCCAAUCCACACCUCUGCCUUGGAGAUCUUUCUAAAAUGCAAUUCUGAUCUUGUCAUUCCCCGUCUUAAAACUUUUCAGUGACCUCCUCUUGCCGUAAGGAUAAAGCUCUAACUGAAAAGCGUUCAUGAGACCUUCCCUCUUGCGUGACUCCUCCCCCCACCACCUCAUUCGGACUGUCUCUCCCCCUCAUCCUCUUUGUUUCAGCCACAAUACAAGUGUUCCCUUGGGCAAGAAUGCCUUCUCCGCCAUUCUUGGGAAAUUUAUGUUUUUCAGAAUCCCAAGAAAAAUCAGUCGGGGAAUCAGGAAAUGAUCAUCUUACAAGAAUUAAGGCUUAACCAUCAACAUAGGAAUGUUACCAGUUUGGAAGCAUCCACUACUACCAAGGGGAAAGUGAGAGCAGGAAACGCUGACAUGUAGAAUCCAAAGUCAGAGUCACAUCGCUGGGGACCAGGGCGAGAGCAAGAAGGGGAGACACGGUGGAAAUCGAUCGGUCUUGCUGGCAGCUGUGGCCAUGUGAAAAGUGUGCUUAUGGCUCUAUCUCCUAACAGUUGACUAAUUCUUACAAAUUAAAAAAAUUAAUUACUUUAUAUACAUAGUAUACCUAACACAAAUCUUAUGAGUUGCUUUCCGAGAAAUAGCGAGGCAAAACAACAGAGGUCCCUGACAUGCCUCCCCAUCCUUCAUGUCUGGUUAAGGUCUGUUCCUCCAGGAAGUCACCUUGACCUUUAAACCUGGCUUCCUUGCCCCUCCAGGGUGCUCCUUACUGCUCUCGUAGUAUUUACAUCAAGGGGAGGAUGAUUAUUUGCUAGUCCCCAGAAGAACCACGCCUCCUGGUUUGCAUAACCUUACGUGGCCCCUCCCACACUGACUGUGGGCGUGGCCGUGUGACUUGCUUUGGCUGUGGGGACGUGAGUCAGAGCGAUACAGGCAAAUCAUUGAUAGGACCUCUAUCCUGGAGCUUGUUUCCUUGGAACCCUCCUUCUUGGAAGCCAGUCACCACACCCUCAAGUAGCCCAGGCUAGUCUACUGAAUGACGCGAGACCCUGGGGGAUGAUGGACCAUCUUGGACCUUCCAGCCCCGCACUCCACCCCACCCCCAGGCUCCCAGCUGAAUGCAGCUGCUCCAGAAUGUGAAGCAGAAGAGCUGCCCAGCUGAGCCCCGUCCACCCAGAGACUUGUGAGAAACAAAAAGCAUCUUUUUUUUCUUUUUUAAAACCCCUGAGUUUUAGGAUGGUAUUUGACACAGGAAUAGAUAACCCAAACAUGCUGUGUUGUCAUUACCUGUUACUUCUCUCUUUGCAGAUAAACUGUAAGUUCUAGGAAGAUAAGUUCAGGCCUGCCUUGUUUUAAGCAGAGGCUCAAUAUGUACUAUUGGAAGGACUGUUCCCUAGCCUCGGGUUGGUUCAGACCCCGCAGCAUUGCCAACUCAAGCUCAGCUGCAUCAAACAGGGUGUGAUUAAGCAUUUUGUUUCUAC